UACGUAGGGGGCAAGCGUUACUCGGAUUUACUGGGCGUAAAGAGAGUUAAGGCGGCUGAGUAAGUCGGAGGUGAAAUCCCUCGGCCUAACCGAGGAACUGCCUUCGAUACUGCUUGGCUUGAGGACAGGAGAGGAAAGUGGAAUUCCCGGUGUAGCGGUGGAAUGCGUAGAUAUCGGGAGGAACACCAGAGGCGAAGGCGGCUUUCUGGACUGCUCCUGACGCUGAUACUCGAAAGCUAGGGGAGCAAACAGGAUUAGAAACCCUCGUAGUCC
rnacentral:rRNA from 1 species